ACGGAAUUGAACUUUAGAAGGAUUCCUUCACACGCAGUUUGAAAGGACUUGUAUUUCUCUUGUGGUUUCACAGCACAAAAAUUCUAUGCGACAAUCGAAUGCAUUAAAGAUCGCGAGUGGGAGUGAAAGUGAAUCACGAAUGGCGGUUGAAUGGCGGAAUUGAAAAACUGUUGGCGGAUGCGAGUUAGAUUGCCUACUCGUGAGAGAAGAAACGACAUAAUAAUGCAGACAAUGCCUUGUGCAUAUGUUGAAGACUGCAAUCACAACAAUGGCAUAAUUCUGUUUGAUGUCAUACGAUUUUAUUCACUGUGUAUAUGUGCUCUUUUAGAAUUUACACUAAUUCUUAUUGAAA